rnacentral:rRNA from 1 species
UACAGGGGGUGCAAACGUUGCUCGGAAUCAUUGGGCGUAAAGCGCACGUAGGCGGUUCGUUAUGUCGGAUGUGAAAGCCCUUGGCUUAACCGAGGAAGUGCAUCCGAAACUGGCGAGCUAGAGUACGAAAGAGGAUCGCGGAAUUCCCGGUGUAGAGGUGAAAUGCGUAGAUAUCGGGAGGAACACCAGUGGCGAAGGCGGCUUCCUGGACCGGUUCUGACACUGAGGAGCGAAAGCGUGGGGAGCGAUCCGG